rnacentral:rRNA from 1 species
CCGUGAGGGAAAGUUGAAAAGAACUUUGAAGAGAGAGUUCAAAAGGGCGUGAAACCGCUUAGAAUAAAACGGACGGAGCCGUCUGUGGCCCAUCGGAAUCAGUCGAAUCGACGCGUGAAGGCGGGUACGACGUGAAAACGGAACGAAAGUCCGGUCGUCUCGUAGUAAAACAGUAACGCUCGUUCGAUGCAUUUCCGAAGGGUAAGCACCGCGACCGAUGUCGAAGGCUAGUGAAACCGUUCGGAUUGAGGUCGAGUACGUUCGCGUGUCUCGUAACCAGUCCGUCGGUACGAAUAGAAUUCGCUAGACCCUAGCAUCGAGAAUCAAACAAAUGAACGUCGGUGAUAUAUAAGCGCUCACUUAUUACGACGGACGUACAGCCGUUCGAUCGUCGCCUGCUCGCAGGUUACGGUUAGUAAUCAGGUUCGUAUCCGAAGUCGUUAGUGACGUUCCGACGUUCAGGCGUCCGCGGUGUCCGAGUCGGUCACCCGUCCGACCCGUCUUGAAACACGGACCAAGGAGUCUAACGUAAGCGCGAGCUAAUGGGCGGAAAACCCAUAAGCGAAAUAAAAGUAAAAGCCGUUUCGGACGGCCGAGGUACGAUCCCGAAGAACGAAAUAUCUUCGGGCGCAGUACCGUCCCGUCCCGACCGCUUGUCGGUAGGGCGGAGACAGAGUGCAUACGUUGGGACCCGAAAGAUGGUGAACUAUGCCUGAGCAGAGCGAAGCCAGAGGAAACUCUGGUGGAGGUUCGUAGCGGUUCUGACGUGCAAAUCGAUCGUCAGACUUGGGUAUAGGGGCGAAAGACUAAUCGAACCAUCUAGUAGCUGGUU